rnacentral:lncRNA from 13 species
AGAAUGAAGAGGCACUCUCAAUUUUUUCGUAUUAACAUAAAUAUUUCGAUAUGUAAUAAAUAUUUCGAUAAAUGAAGCAAAUUCAGAAGAUAUAGACAAGAAUAGAAGAGCAGAACAAAGAACUGCAACAAUAUUAAAUUCAAUCUUUACACCAGGGCAAAUAACAAAGCUGUUUGCAGAAAAUAGAAAAAGAAUUACUUGGUCAGCCGAGGAUAUAUCUUCUGCAAUUGCUCUCCGAUCAUUGAGUGGUAGAACGUAUAAAUACUUGCGAGAAGUAAAACAAAUGCCAUUGCCUUGCGAAUCCACACUGCGAAAUUGGGCUGCAUCAUUCGACGUAUAUAAUUCUGCAAAACUACCUGGCGACGAAUGACGAGCUGCAGUUGCUGGAGAAUUUUGAACAAGAAAUGUCCAAAGAUAUUGUGGAAAACGAGGGCCUAAUUUAUAUAGUCGGUUAUGUCGCGCAUAGAUUUCGACAUACGCACCCAAAUCUUGGGGAUCCAACAAGAUCGGUUCAAAUUAGAAACGAUUGGCUGUCGCUUAUAUCUAAAGGAGGAUGUAUAUAUCCUACAAACGAAUUUAUUGAAAUUGGAAAAAAAA